GCAUAUCAAUAAGCGGAGGAAAAGAAACCAACAGGGAUUGCCUCAGUAACGGCGAGUGAAGCGGCAAAAGCUCAAAUUUGAAAUCUGGCUCCGUUAGGUGCCCGAGUUGUAAUUUGGAGAGGAUACUUCGGGUGUGGCUACGGCGUAAGUCCCUUGGAACAGGGCGUCAUAGAGGGUGAGAAUCCCGUCUUAAGUCGAUAGACCACGCCCAUGCGAAGUUCCUUCAACGAGUCGAGUUGUUUGGGAAUGCAGCUCUAAGUGGGUGGUAAAUUUCAUCUAAAGCUAAAUAUUGGCCGGAGACCGAUAGCGAACAAGUAGAGUGAUCGAAAGGUUAAAAGCACCUUGAAAAGGGAGUUAAAUAGCACGUGAAAUUGUUGAAAGGGAAGCGCUUGCAACCAGACUCGGUCAUAGGGGCUCAACGUGGCAUUUGUAUGCCCGUGUACUCCCCUGUGUUCGGGCCAGCAUCAGUUCUGGCGGUUGGUUAAAGGCCCUUGGAAUGUAUCAUCCUCCGGGAUGCCUUAUAGCCAAGGGUGUAAUGCAGCCAGCCGGGACUGAGGAACGCGCUUCGGCACGGAUGCUGGCGUAAUGGUUGUAAGCGGCCCGUCUUGAAACACGGACCAAGGAGUCUAACAUCCACGCGAGUGUUCGGGUGUUAAACCCGUGCGCGCAGUGAAAGCGAACGGAGGUGGGAGCCCUUUAGGGUGCACCAUCGACCGAUCCUGAAGUCUUCGGAUGGAUUUGAGUAAGAGCGUGGCUGUUGGGACCCGAAAGAUGGUGAACUAUGCCUGAAUAGGGUGAAGCCAGAGGAAACUCUGGUGGAGGCUCGCAGCGGUUCUGACGUGCAAAUCGAUCGUCAAAUUUGGGUAUAGGGGCGAAAGACUAAUCGAACCAUCUGGUAGCUGGGUCUGCA
rnacentral:rRNA from 1 species